UACAGAGGGGGCAAGCGUUAUUCGGAAUUAUUGGGCGUAAAGGGCGCGUAGGCGGUGGUUCAAGUCGGAUGUGUAAUCCCCGGGCUCAACCUGGGAACUGCAUCCGAGACUGUGUCGCUAGAGUGCUGGAGAGGGUGGUGGAAUUCCUCGUGUAGCGGUGAAAUGCGUAGAGAUGAGGAGGAACACCAGUGGCGAAGGCGGCCACCUGGACAGUAACUGACGCUGAGGCGCGAAAGUGUGGGGAGCAAACAGG
rnacentral:rRNA from 1 species